AGAGUUUGAUCCUGGCUCAGAAUGGACGCUGGCGGCGUGCUUAACACAUGCAAGUCGUGCGCGAAAGCGGCUUCGGCCGCGUGUAGAGCGGCGAACGGGUGAGUAACACGUGGACAACCUGCCCAAGAGUUGGGGAUAACCUGGGGAAACCCGGGCUAAUACCGAAUACGUUCGUGGGGUCUCGGCCCUGCGCAGAAAGGUGGCCUAUGCUUGCAAGCCACCGCUCCUGGAGGGGUCCGCGUCUGAUUAGCUAGUUGGCGGGGUAAUGGCCCACCAAGGCGACGAUCAGUAGCCGGCCUGAGAGGGUGAUCGGCCACACUGGAACUGAGACACGGUCCAGACUCCUACGGGAGGCAGCAGUGGGGAAUAUUGGACAAUGGGGGAAACCCUGAUCCAGCAACGCCGCGUGGAGGAUGAAGGUCUUCGGAUUGUAAACUCCUGUUAGGGGGGACGAAGGGAUGUCGGCGAACAGUCGGCAAACUUGACGGUACCCCCAGAGGAAGCCCCGGCUAACUCUGUGCCAGCAGCCGCGGUAAUACAGAGGGGGCAAGCGUUAUUCGGAAUUAUUGGGCGUAAAGGGCGCGUAGGCGGCCUUGUAAGUCUUGGGUGAAAUCCCUCAGCUCAACUGAGGAACUGCCUCGGAUACUGCAAGGCUUGAGGCCGGGAGAGGGUAGUGGAAUUCCCAGUGUAGCGGUGAAAUGCGUAGAUAUUGGGAGGAACACCGGUGGCGAAGGCGGCUACCUGGACCGGUUCUGACGCUGAUGCGCAAAAGCGUGGGGUAGCAAACAGGAUUAGAUACC
rnacentral:rRNA from 1 species